rnacentral:rRNA from 1 species
UACGAAGGGGGCUAGCGUUGCUCGGAAUGACUGGGCGUAAAGGGCGCGUAGGCGGAUGGCACAGUCAGAUGUGAAAUUCCCGGGCUUAACCUGGGGGCUGCAUUUGAUACGUGUUGUCUCGAGUUCGGAAGAGGGUCGUGGAAUUCCCAGUGUAGAGGUGAAAUUCGUAGAUAUUGGGAAGAACACCGGUGGCGAAGGCGGCGACCUGGUCCGACACUGACGCUGAGGCGCGAAAGCGUGGGGAGCAAACAGG